CAGCCGUGUGUUUACUUUUUAUAUCCACGGCAGCCUUGUUCCUGUUUUAGUCAUCUGCCCGGUUGCCAUCUUAUAUGGGAGCAGUCCAGGGUGCAGCCUGCCUCUUGGCCAAAUCAGCUGGGAUCGGCUCCAGCUAUUCCGGGACAUGAUACAUGGUACAAAAUGGAUGGAUUGAUAGAGUUGUCCCAGGUGGUGGCACUGCAACAUCAAAUGCUGUACACAGCCACCCCAAUCGUGAUGCGUCUACGCUGCAUCACUUUGGCUGCUAAGAAUCCCAUUUUACCUGUUGUCUAAUUAUGAACACGAUGAGAUUAAUCUGAUCAUACUUAGUGAACACUUUGAAAUUUUACGCACCGGCUCAUUUUCUUUUCCCUAUUAGAACGCUUUAUGAUCAAUUAUUAAGCUCUUUGAUGAUAUGAUUUAAAAAGGUAAUUGACCCAGAAUGUCUCAGUACUUACAUAAAUAGGAACACAUAAUGUGUAUUGCAAGGGGUUAGAGCAUUUAUUUGAUAUCCUACUAGUAUGCUAAAUUGUCCAUGUACUAGUACGCUUUUUCCUUACUAGUACUGUAAGACAAUUCAGCGCACUAAUAGAACGAAUAGGGUGCUGGAAGGACUAGGAUGCACUAGUAUAACAACUAUGCCUUACUAGUGAUGUUUUUUUUUUUUUUUUACACUACUGCCUUCCAAUGCAUACAGUAAUGCACUAUUGUAGCCUAUGUACAUUUCUCCGCACUAGUAGAAUGAGUAGGGUGCACUCAUAGAACAACUACAUGUUACUAGUGAAACUAUGCAGUAGGUGACAUCUGAACACUACUAGUGAAGUACUAGAUGUUAGCUAGUAUAACUUUAUGUCACUCGUAGUCACUAGUAGCACACAGUUGUCAACUCACUAGUAACGUACUCUAGUUUUUCUGCUUCUGUGGCCUAGUCAUUCUACUAGUUUACUAGCUACUAUUAGUGAGGACAAAAAGCAUAUUAGUACAUGGAUAAUUCAGCUCACAAGUAAGAUAUUGAAUAAAUGCAUAGACACCUUCUCUUCAAAUAUAAUGCCUUUUUACCUGGUGCACAAAUAAGGUGAAGCAAAAUUUUAGCAUGCAUCCAUUACAUAAGUGUUCAAAAUCCAUGUUGACCAUUUAAAAGGAGACGUGGGUUUGCCACAACUUAACUGUCUCACACACAAACACACGCGCACACACGCAAGGACACACACAGAGCGAGGGAGUUUGCUGUGAAACUUAAAAAGCAGACUGCCAUUGUUUGCUUGGAGUUCAGCCCAUGGGUCAAAAGCUCAUCCCUGGAGAUCGAUAGGUUUUGGGCACCACCCACUCACCGAGCAAAGAGAGCAACACAUCACCAAAGCAGGAGGUUGGCCUGUCGUCUGAAAUCAACUAGCAACGCCUACGAAUGAGGCCAAGAUCUAGUAGUCUGGUUUUUGUGUAUGGUUUAAGAUGCACGCUGUGCCUCAGUGAAAGCUGAGAAAGUCUGCAAAUGUCCCAUGAGAGGCCGAAAUUGGUCUUCCGAAACACCGCUGUGUCGGCAGUAGUGAUUCUGUAUUAAGGGAAAGCUACACUGCAUGUUUCGCGUCUCACAUUUUUUUGCUCUCAAGUGGCACAGUUCAGAUAUGUGGCAUGGUGGCAUCAAUAGAUAUCUUCACAUCAGAAUCAGAGAGGGUCACCCCAGGAAAGUUAAAUUCUCUGUAAUGUUUGUAUAGUUUCAUUCUAAUUGUUUACUUCCAUGUUGUCAUUGCCACGUACUAGUGCAUGUUGUUUAAGUUAUUUAAGAGCAGUGUGGUCAUCUGCGCAUGCACGCUGUUUUAUGUGUUCUGUGAACAGUAUUGGGGAGGAACUAAUUGCUUGUAAUGAGAUGUAAUUUAGUGACAAAAUGUAUGUAUUUUUACUCUAUUACAUUAGUGGAAGAAUGUGUAAUUAUAUUAGUUGCCUUUGGAAAGUUCCAUGAUUACAAUUUUAGUUGCAUUUGAAAAAUAACCACAAAAGCUCUUUUUUUUCCCCGUUUCAUGUCACUUCCUAGUUCUGAUGCCGACGCUUGUGAUUGGCUCUCUCUGGUCAUGUGCCAUUCUGUUCUGUCUCAAACAUGACAUAUUUUUCCAAUUAUGACUUCAAAAAACCACCUUGUGGUGCAAUCUAUUAGGUUGUGUCGAAUUUUGGAAAGGUUAGGCUCAUAGUUACACUUUUUAAAAACAAACAAACAAAGACUUGAACAGUUUCAUUUUUAUAAUUUGGGAUUUUUUUUUAAUGGAACAUUCACUUAUCUAUUUUAUCAUAUGAAGCGAUAUUGUCUAAAUUGUGCAAAUUUGACAUUAGACAAAUGAAAAAAAAUACAUUUUCAUGCAUUAUUGCAUUAUUUUAUAUUGCAUUGUUAUUGCAUUUGUGCAUGGUAUGUUUGUCACAUGCUGCACACACACACACACGU